rnacentral:lncRNA from 1 species
UGUAAUGCAACACAUCACAACAAAUCACAUCUCGGAUGGUAUUGUCACCAAUAGUCCUCUACAUAAUCCAACUGUGUCGGGACGUAGAAUGGGUACAACCGGUCUUUCUCUUAACAUAACAUAUCAUACAGUCCAACUGUGCCAGGGACGUAGAAUGGGUACAACCUGGACUUUCUCUUACAUAGUGCCAGGGACGUAGAAUGGGUACAACUUGGACUUCCAUACCAUAUCAUGCCGUAACAUCAUCAUACCAUAUGAGGACUAAAGGAUCAU